rnacentral:rRNA from 1 species
AAAUCUUGAUGCUUACCCCUACUAAAGCAUCCGCCCGAGAACUACGAGCACUAACGCUUAAAACUCUAAGGACUUGGCGGUGCCCCAAACCCACCUAGAGGAGCCUGUUCUA